CUAAAGGCCUCGCUCAGGUGUCUGUGCAGGGAAGGAUAACUCUUUGACUGUGGCAGGUGGACACCCUGGGGUCUCUAGCUGCAUUGUAUGGCACUGAUUCCUGCUUUCUGUUCAGACGAAUGAGAACAUGGAGAUCACCAGUGCGCUGCAGUCAGAGCAGCACAUCAAGAAGGAGCUGGCCAAGAAGUUGGGUCAGCUGCAGGAGAAGCUGGGAGAGCUAACGGAGACGGUAACCCUUGCCCCAUGUGCCCUCACUGUAGGGGAAGAGACAGCCAUGAUGGGAGGCUUUAUUGCUUCACACAGCUAACCCUGGUUUCUUUAGCUUCAGUUACUGGGCACUAGUAGGGUGCACUUAAUAGGUGUGUGGCUCUCUUUGCUUUUCCACAUCUGUGGCCUGAAGUUCCGGUGGUGGGGAAAGAUGGUUACAAAGCGUGAGGCUAAGUGUUGGAGGCAUGGGGCUCUGUUACCCUCCACCACCAACCACCACCGUCACUUAUGGGCUGGGAUCAAGAACUGGAAGCAAGUCACACUUGUCCUUACACCCAGGGCCUUCCCACAGGUGGAGCUGAAGAGCCAGGAGGCUCAGGGUCUGCAACAGCAGCGAGACCAGUACCUGUCUCACCUGCAUCAAUACGUGGCAGCCUAUCAACAGCACGUGGCUGCCUAUCAGCAGCUGACCUCCGAGAAGGAGGCGCUGCACAAGCAGGUUCUGCUGCAGACUCAGCUUAUGGACCGGCUGCAGCAUGAGGAGGUGCAGGGCAAGAUGGCAGUGGAGAUGGCCCGCCAGGAGUUGCAGGAGACCCAGGUGAGGGGGCUGCUAAGGCCGGGCCCCUAAGUGGAGGACGUGGCCAUUCUGUGCCUUCUCACUCUCUUCCCAAUCCCGUAGGAGCGCCUAGAAGCCACCAGUCAGCAAAACCAACAGCUACAGGCCCAGCUGAGCCUCCUGGCUCUCCCUGGGGAAGGUGAGUGAAACCAUCCUGAGGAGGGGAGCCUGAAGAGGGACUGUGGUGGAACAGAGUUGAGGAGUUAGAGGAAGACUUCGGAACGUGCUGUUAAUCUCUGGGGAGGCUGGCCCAGGGGUACACAGUGAGGGGGCAGAAGUGGACCCUUUUUUUCCUGGGCCUUCCCUUGGGUUGUCUGAGGGAUCCCUCUGGCUGUCUGCAGUAGAAGAUGAAAUGGACGAGGAAGAAAAGGAGGAGGCGGCUUCUCGGCCCAGUUUGACCAUCCCAGAGGACCUGGACAGCCGAGAGGCCAUGGUGAGCUGUGCUCUCCUGUCCCUUCCCCAGCUCACCUUUUCUGCCUCCCUCUGUGGUCCCUCUGGAUGUCCUGAUACCUUGGUUUUUCCCACUCCCAUUUCCGCCAACACCCACACCUCCCGUGGAGACAGGGAUUGGAUACGUGCCCCCCUAGGAAAAAUAGUGACCCACUGAGGCCCAGGGGAGGGCUGCUCUGCUCUGCUCUCUGCUCCCUGGUUUGUCCCGAGCAUUUUUUCAAUAAAAAGGACAUGUCUGCCUCUAGGUGGUAUUUUUUAAUGCGGCUCUAGCCAAUGCCGAGGAAGAGAAGGCACGGCUGCGCAGGCAGCUGAGGGAGCAGCAGACACGCUGCCGGCGCCUGGCUUAUCUGGAAGCCACAUCCCAGAGUGAGCCCACAGAGCAAGCCCUGGUCCCCAGGAGUGGGGACAAUUGUGUGUCUGGGGAGAGCACCCAGGCUCUACAGAUGGCCAUGGAGAAGCUGCAGGUGAGUGAGCCUUUCCCAACAGAGGAAGUGUAGAUACAGGACAGGUCCCUCCUGAGUCUUGACCCUGCUAUUUUGGCCUCAGAGCCGCUUC
rnacentral:lncRNA from 1 species